AGUCUAAAAAUAAAUUAUUCACAAUGCAGGUUCAGAUACAGAUUGCAAGGAGAGAUAAUAGAAUUGGUUUUCCAAGCCUGAUCAUGCUCGGAAGACAUGGUAUGUGCUUUUCAGGAAUCCACUUCAACGGAAUCAGCUUUGACGAGUACACACAAGAAAUAAUAUUGCUGCCAUCCAGCUUGUGUCUGCGGUACAGCAUCCUCCGCUUGUCUUCAAGGACCCACAGUGCCUCUUCAUCAGUGUGCAAAAGUCCAUAUUGCUCAAGCAUUUCUUCUGAGAUGCUGCCCUCCCAUUGUUCUUUUAAGGAAAUUUCUUCCUGGCAGCGUGAGAGGGGCACUGCCUCCUACCCCCCUUCUGCCUCGGCAGAACAGUUGACCACAGCAGCAGCCGACUCCGGCUCGUCAUGUGCUUCCUCAUGUGAUGUAGGUCUGCGGCACUGUGGAGCAAUCGCAUUUGAGACUCGGCACUCGUGGACAGACGGGCGUUCAGGGACUGGGGAGUUUUUGGAGGGGGGUGGGGAGGCCAAUAAACCAAGAAAACGUCAGAAAUAAAAGUCGCAUCAAUUUUUU
rnacentral:lncRNA from 1 species